rnacentral:rRNA from 1 species
AUCGUAACUCCUACGGGAGGCAGCAGUGGGGAAUAUUGCACAAUGGGCGGAAGCCUGAUGCAGCAACGCCGCGUGCGGGAUGACGGCCUUCGGGUUGUAAACCGCUUUCGCCUGUGACGAAGCGUGAGUGACGGUAAUGGGUAAAGAAGCACCGGCUAACUACGUGCCAGCAGCCGCGGUGAUACGUAGGGUGCGAGCGUUGUCCGGAUUUAUUGGGCGUAAAGGGCUCGUAGGUGGUUGAUCGCGUCGGAAGUGUAAUCUUGGGGCUUGACCCUGAGCGUGCUUUCGAUACGGGUUGACUUGAGGAAGGUAGGGGAGAAUGGAAUUCCUGGUGGAGCGGUGGAAUGCGCAGAUAUCAGGAGGAACACCAGUGGCGAAGGCGGUUCUCUGGGCAUUAACUGACGCUGAGGAGCGAAAGCAUGGGGAGCGAACAGGAUUAGAAACCCGGGUAGUCCUAGAGC